GGGGCCCACACCCCAACUUGCAUUGCCUGUAGAAUUUCUUUUCGAAAUUCUCUUUGUUGGGGCCCACACCCCAACUUGCAUUGCCUGUAGAAUUUCUUUUCGAAAUUCUCUUUGUUGGGGCCCCUGACUAGAAUUGAAAAAAGCUUGUUACAAGCGCAUUUUCGUUCAGUCAACUACUGCCAAUAUAACUUCGUAGAGCAUAGAACAUUGAUUUAU
rnacentral:ncRNA from 1 species